UUCCGGUUGAUCCUGCCAGAGGUCACUGCUAUCAGUAUUCGAUUAAGCCAUGCGAGUCAAAUGUUUUUCGUAAACAUGGCGUACUGCUCAGUAACACGUGGAUAAUCUGCCCUAAGGUCAGGCAUAACUCCGGGAAACUGGUGAUAAUUCCUGAUAUACCAUAGAUACUGGAAUGUUCUGUGGUCAAAAGCUCCGGCGCCUUAGGAUGAAUCUGCGGCCUAUCAGGUUGUAGUGGGUGUAGUGUACCUACUAGCCGACGACGGGUACGGGUUGUGAGAGCAAGAGCCCGGAGAUGGAUUCUGAGACAUGAAUCCAGGCCCUACGGGGCGCAGCAGGCGCGAAAACUUUACAAUGCGGGAAACCGCGAUAAGGGGAUACUGAGUGCCAGCAUCUUAUGUUGGCUGUCCGCAUGUAUAAAUAGCAUGUGUUAGCAAGGGCCGGGCAAGACCGGUGCCAGCCGCCGCGGUAACACCGGCGGCCCGAGUGGUGGCCACUAUUAUUGGGUCUAAAGGGUCCGUAGCCGGUUUGAUCAGUCUUCCGGGAAAUCUGACAGCUCAACUGUUAGGCUUCCGGGGGAUACUGUCAGACUUGGGACCGGGAGAGGUAAGAGGUACUACAGGGGUAGGAGUGAAAUCUUGUAAUCCUUGUGGGACCACCAGUGGCGAAGGCGUCUUACCAGAACGGGUCCGACGGUGAGGGACGAAAGCUGGGGGCACGAACCGGAUUAGAUACCCGGGUAGUCCCAGCCGUAAACGAUGCUCGCUAGGUGUCUGGGACGGUGCGACCGUUUCAGGUGCCGCAGGGAAGCCGUGAAGCGAGCCACCUGGGAAGUACGGCCGCAAGGCUGAAACUUAAAGGAAUUGGCGGGGGAGCACUACAACGGGUGGAGCCUGCGGUUUAAUUGGAUUCAACGCCGGG
rnacentral:rRNA from 1 species